AGGAUGAACGCUGGCGGUAUGCUUAACACAUGCAAGUCGAACGAAAGUAAUUUUUUUAAAGGUAACUUUAAAAAAGCUACUUUAGUGGCGGACGGGUGAAGAACACGUAAGAACCUACCUUUAGGAGGGGGACAACAACUGGAAACGGUUGCUAAUACCCCAUAUGCUGAGGAGUGAAAGAGUUUAUUCUCGCCUAGAGAUGGGCUUGCGUCUGAUUAGCUUGUUGGUGAGGUAAAAGCUCACCAAGGCAACGAUCAGUAGCUGGUCUGAGAGGAUGAUCAGCCACACUGGGACUGAGACACGGCCCAGACUCCUACGGGAGGCAGCAGUGAGGAAUUUUCCGCAAUGGGCGAAAGCCUGACGGAGCAAUACCGCGUGGAGGAUGACAGCCCGUGGGUCGUAAACUCCUUUCGAUCGGGAAGAUAAGUGACGGUACCGAUAUAAGAACGCCCCGGCUAACGUUCGUGCCAGCAGCCGC
rnacentral:rRNA from 1 species